rnacentral:rRNA from 1 species
UACGGUGGGGGCAAGCGUUGUUCGGAAUUACUGGGCGUAAAGGGUUUGUAGGUGGCCAACUAAGUCAGACGUGAAAUCCCUCAGCUUAACUGGGGAACUGCGUCUGAGACUGAUUGGCUCGAGGACAGGAGAGGAACGCGGAAUUCCAGGUGUAGCGGUGAAAUGCGUAGAUAUCUGGAGGAACACCGGUGGCGAAGGCGGCGUUCUGGACUGUUUCUGACACUGAAUAACGAAAGCCAGGGGAGCAAACGGG